AUGAAGGCCUUCGGGUUGUAAAGCACUUUUGGCAGGAAAGAAACGUCGCGGGUUAAUACCCCGCGGAACUGACGGUACCUGCAGAAUAAGCACCGGCUAACUACGUGCCAGCAGCCGCGGUAAUACGUAGGGUGCAAGCGUUAAUCGGAAUUACUGGGCGUAAAGCGUGCGCAGGCGGUUCGGAAAGAAAGAUGUGAAAUCCCAGAGCUUAACUUUGGAACUGCAUUUUUAACUACCGGGCUAGAGUGUGUCAGAGGGAGGUGGAAUUCCGCGUGUAGCAGUGAAAUGCGUAGAUAUGCGGAGGAACACCGAUGGCGAAGGCAGCCUCCUGGGAUAACACUGACGCUCAUGCACGAAAGCGUGGGGAGCAAACAGGAUUAGAUACCCUGGUAGUCCACGCCCUAAACGAUGUCAACUAGCUGUUGGGGCCUUCGGGCCUUGGUAGCGCAGCUAACGCGUGAAGUUGACCGCCUGGGGAGUACGGUCGCAAGAUUAAAACUCAAAG
rnacentral:rRNA from 1 species